rnacentral:misc_RNA from 1 species
UGGUUCUGGCAUNGAUGAAGAACGCAGCGAAAUGCGAUAAGUAAUGUGAAUUGCAGAAUUCAGUGAAUCAUCGAAUCUUUGAACGCACAUUGCGCCCGCUAGUAUUCUGGCGGGCAUGCCUGUUCGAGCGUCAUUUCAACCCUCAAGCCCCCCGGGCUUGGUGCUGGGGAACGGGCCGGCCCUCGCGGCCGCGCCCGUCCCCGAAAUGCAGUGGCGGUCACGCCGCGGCGUCCCCUGCGCAGUAGCACACCUCGCACUGGAGCCCGGCGCAGCCACGCCGUGAAACCCCCGACAUACUUAGGUUGACCUCGGAUCAGGUAGGAAUACCCGCUGA